AACGAACGCUGGCGGCAUGCCUAACACAUGCAAGUCGAACGAGGGCUUCGGCCUUAGUGGCGCACGGGUGAGUAACGCGUGGGAAACUGCCUAUUGGUGGGGAAUAACGACGGGAAACUGUCGCUAAUACCGCAUAAGCCCUUCGGGGGAAAGAUUUAUCGCCGAUAGAUGUGCCCGCGUCCGAUUAGCUAGUUGGUGAGGUAAUGGCUCACCAAGGCGACGAUCGGUAGCUGGUCUGAGAGGAUGAUCAGCCACACUGGGACUGGGACCCGGCCAAGACCCCUACGGGAGGCAGCAGUGGGAAAUAUUGGACAAGGGGCGAAAGCCUGAUCCAGAAAUGCCGCGUGAGUGAGGAAGGCCUUAGGGUUGUAAAGCUCUUUCGGGUGGGACGAUGAUGACGGUACCACCAGAAGAAGCCCCGGCUAACUUCGUGCCAGCAGCCGCCGUAA
rnacentral:rRNA from 1 species